UCCUUGGAAAAGAAAUUUUGGAUUAACAACCAAUGCAACAGAUGAGACCGGAAGAUUUUUCGACGGAUUGAGAAAUAUAAUCACUGGUUUUUUAUAUAGUCAUGAAGAAGAUGAAAGUUUGAAAAUUCAUCUUGACAAAUGUUCCAAAGAUAUCAACUGUAAACUUUCUACUGUCCUAGACAAAAACGAAAAAGGUGUCAUGUUUCUUUGCAUAUUGGCAGAAAAAUCGGAAGUAUGUUACAUGUCCAGUUGUUCUUGUCAGAAAAGGCAAG